UACGGAGGGCGCAAGCGUUGUCCGGAAUCACUGGGCGUAAAGGGCGCGUAGGCGGCUAGGUAAGUAGGGGGUGAAAUCCUGCGGCUCAACCGCAGGGCUGCCUUCUAAACUGUCGAGCUCGAGCACGGUAGAGGCAGAUGGAAUUCCCGGUGUAGCGGUGGAAUGCGUAGAGAUCGGGAAGAACAUCAGUGGCGAAGGCGGUCUGCUGGGCCGUUGCUGACGCUGAGGCGCGACAGCGUGGGGAGCAAACAGG
rnacentral:rRNA from 1 species